AUUGAACGCUGGCGGCAGGCCUAACACAUGCAAGUCGAGCGGUAGCACAGAGAGCUUGCUCUCGGGUGACGAGCGGCGGACGGGUGAGUAAUGUCUGGGAAACUGCCUGAUGGAGGGGGAUAACUACUGGAAACGGUAGCUAAUACCGCAUAACGUCGCAAGACCAAAGAGGGGGACCUUCGGGCCUCUUGCCAUCAGAUGUGCCCAGAUGGGAUUAGCUAGUAGGUGGGGUAACGGCUCACCUAGGCGACGAUCCCUAGCUGGUCUGAGAGGAUGACCAGCCACACUGGAACUGAGACACGGUCCAGACGCCUACGGGAGGCAGCAGUGGGGAAUAUUGCACAAUGGGCGCAAGCCUGAUGCAGCCAUGCCGCGUGUAUGAAGAAGGCCUUCGGGUUGUGAAGUACUGUCAGCGAGGAGGAAAGCAUUGUGGUUAAUAACCACAGUGAUUGACGUUACUCGCAGAAGAAGCACCGGCUAACUCCGUGCCAGCCGCCGCAGUAACAC
rnacentral:rRNA from 1 species